rnacentral:siRNA from 1 species
ACAUUGAGACGGCGUGCUUUCAC